rnacentral:rRNA from 1 species
AGUCACUGACAUUAGAUACCCCGGUAGUCCCAGCCGUAAACUAUGCGCGUUAGGUGUACUGGUGACCACGAGUCACCGGGGUGCCGAAGGGAAACCGUGAAACGUGCCGCCUGGGAAGUACGGUCGCAAGGCUGAAACUUAAAGGAAUUGGCGGGGGAGUACCGCAACGGGAGGAGCGUGCGGUUUAAUUGGAUUCAACACCGUAAACUCACCAGGGAAGACUGUUACAUGAAGGCCGAGAUGAAGACUCUGCUAGAUUUUCAG